rnacentral:rRNA from 1 species
GAUGAACGCUGGCGGCGUGCUUAACACAUGCAAGUCGAACGAAGACAUCUGAGUGCUUGCACUUGGAUGGACUGAGUGGCGGACGGGUGAGUAACGCGUGGGUAACCUGCCUUAUACAGGGGGAUAACAGUUGGAAACGACUGCUAAUACCGCAUAAGCGCACGGUAUCGCAUGAUACAGUGUGAAAAACUCCGGUGGUAUAAGAUGGACCCGCGUCUGAUUAGCUAGUUGGUGAGGUAACGGCCCACCAAGGCGACGAUCAGUAGCCGGCCUGAGAGGGUGAACGGCCACAUUGGGGCUGAGACACGGCCCAAAACUCCUACGGGAGGCAGCAGUGGGGAAUAUUGCACAAUGGGGGAAACCCUGAUGCAGCGACGCCGCGUGAGUGAUGAAGUAUUUCGGUAUGUAAAACUCUAUCAGCAGGGAAGAUAAAUGACGGUACCUGACUAAGAAGCACCGGCUAAAAUACGUGCCAGCAGCC